rnacentral:tRNA from 1 species
UCGAGCAUAGCUCAGUCGGUAGAGCGGGUGGCUGUUAACCACCAUGUCGGGGGUUCAAGUCCCUCUGCUCGAG